CCUCAGUAACGGCGAGUGAAGCGGUAACAGCUCAAAUUUGAAAUCUGGGCCCCUCGGGCCCCGAGUUGUAAUUUGGAGAAGAUGCUUCGGGUGCGGCGCCGGUCUAAGUUCCUUGGAACAGGACGUCACAGAGGGUGAGAAUCCCGUACGUGAUCGGCCGCCUGCGCCCGUGUGAAGCUCUUUCGACGAGUCGAGUUGUUUGGGAAUGCAGCUCAAAAUGGGUGGUAUAUUUCAUCUAAAGCUAAAUAUUGGCCAGAGACCGAUAGCGCACAAGUAGAGUGAUCGAAAGAUGAAAAGCACUUUGGAAAGAGAGUUAAACAGUACGUGAAAUUGUUGAAAGGGAAGCGCUUGCGACCAGACUUGCGCGUGGCCGAUCAUCCGGGGUUCUCCCCGGUGCACUCGGCCUCGCUCAGGCCAGCAUCGGUUCCGGUGGCUGGAUAAAGGCCUUGGGAAUGUAGCUCCUCUCGGGGAGUGUUAUAGCCCUCGGCGCAAUGCAGCCUACCGGGACCGAGGACCGCGCUUCGGCUAGGAUGCUGGCGUAAUGGUCGUAAGCGACCCGUCUUGAAACACGGACCAAGGAGUCUAACAUCUAUGCGAGUGUUUGGGUGCCAAACCCAUCCGCGUAAUUAACGUGAACGGAGGUGAGAGCCCUGAAGGGUGCAUCACCGACCGGUCCUGAUGUCUUCGGAUGGAUCUGAGUAAGAGCAUAGCUGUUGGGACCCGAAAGAUGGUGAACUAUGCCUGAAUAGGGUGAAGCCAGAGGAAACUCUGGUGGAGGCUCGCAGCGGUUCUGACGUGCAAAUCGAUCGUCAAAUUUGGGUAUAGGGGCGAAAGACUAAUCGAACCAUUGGGCCCUACUAGGUGGUUAAGA
rnacentral:rRNA from 1 species